rnacentral:lncRNA from 1 species
UGUGAGUUGAUUUCAUGCUGGUUGGUGGAAAAGUGGUAUUUUUAUGGAUGUAGGUACACUUGGUCACACAGUAUGUAAACAUUUUUACUGAGACAACACUGGACUGUGUGUGUGUGUGUGUGUGUGUGUCUAUUCAGGGUAUCAAUGUGAAGAGGUCUCAGAGAUCCAACGACAAGGUCAGAAACAGACACAAGACCGGGACCAAGCGUGAAGAAGAGUAUAGAUGCUGAGUGUGUGAUAAAAAGCGGGGAGCAUAAGACACCAGUGGACAUCAUCUUUCCAGACCAGGUUCUUCUGAGAUUGCAGAUACAACAAGAAACCAGAAACAUUAUUUGCCAAUAUCAUAACUGGAGCAGGACAUCUUUGGAGCUAAAGAUUGAGGCCAGCUUUUGUAUGCUAACGUACAGUCCUUAACAGUUUACCUGGAUGAAAACACAGCAAGAAAACACAUAGGCCAAUAUGUAAUAGUCGUCUAUUGUAUUGCAGUAUUGGUGGUUGGUUUAACAACAACUUGUUUUACUAGAGGAAAAAAAUGGAAUAUGCAUAAACCAUAUUUAAUAUCCAUGCAGUGACUGAACAACAACUGCAUUUCCACCCCCAUCUCUAAAGGCAUAGUAUCAUGGCUGGUCACCUGUCAAGUCACCUUGUCAGGUCAGCCAGUCACUUAUUGCUGCAGAUGUGCUCC